CACUCAGUAAAAGAUUGAAAGCAUGAAUGCAGAAAUGGAUGACUCAUCGAAUGCCAGUGUUGCUCAGUCUCUCUUUGAAACACCAAUAUCUGAAGAAACCCAAGCUGGCACUUUGGACUUGGUGGAGUGAUAUCAGCUUUGCCCAGGAGAAAAGCGACUCAAGGGAAUGUCUACUACUGUGAUUGUCAGUGGGAUGGGUUGAGAAGCAUAUUCUCAAGAUUACAAGAUGCAUGGCUCACAAACGGAACCAGAGAAGCCCAGCUGGUGCUGAAGGAGAAUGGGAAGCAAGUACCCCUAGCCCCCAUCAUUUGCUCCCAACUACUUCAGGAACGUGGAGAUACACCGGCCAGAAAAGCAAACAUUCCAGCUGGGAAGAAGCUGCCUUCUGAGCCAGCCAGAGGUACGUCCAGAGUCAAACCUCCCACCCAACCCAUCAAUUUCUCCUCCCAUCCUUUAAAAGACUAUGGCUCCCAGUCCACAGCCAGGCAGGAUGUAGACGGAGACAAAUAGAGGUGGGUUGUGUCCUGGAAGGGCUAGUUGUGUAAUAAAAAGUACUGUAGGAUAUUUUAAAGCAAUUAUCCUCCAAUUAAAAAUAAAUGAAUUUAAAUUAAAAUAUAAUAAAAAGUACUGUAGGAACUUUCAUGGUGGCUCAGUAGUUAAGAAUCUGCCUUCUGACGCAGGGGACGCAAAUUUAAUUCCUGGUCAGAGAACUAAGAUUCCACAUGUGGUGGGGCAACCAAAUCUGCACAUUGCAAUGCAGAUUUUGCAAGCUGCCUCCAAAUAAAUAAUUUUUUUUAAAAGUACUAUAAAUUGGAGAGAGACGAGAAGAAGGGGGAGGGCAGUGCAGGCUUGGAGGUCAUGUGAUCUUAUGUGCUACCCUUUAAAAUAGGACAGCAGACUCUGUUGUCUCCUACUAGUGUCUCCUACUAGUGUCUACUACUUAGAGCAAGAGCCCCAGUCUAAUGCCCAGAGAUGUCCAUAGGAUUCUCCAGGCAACCCACUGGAGUGGGUCGCCAUUUCCUUCUCCAGUCCACAAGAGCUAAAUAUCUGUCAGAUCCUGAAAAAGGAGGUAGGCACUUCUGUGUCAGUGUGCCCUUCAGAUCUGCUUUACUUGUGCCCAAGAGGAAACUGAGGGACGAAAAAGACUUCAUCAGGACUACCCACUAGCAAGUGCCAGGCUGGAACAUACUGUUCUCUUUUGCAGAGAGACAGAAAAGUGCCCAAAGGGGCCUAAGCAAAGAAUACUGCAAGAUAAAGGAAAGGAAGCCUUUCUGUUAAAACUUGACGUGAGAUUAUAUCACUGAAAAUAAACUUCUCCAGGAAGGAGAGNNNNNNNNNNNNNNNNNNNNNNNNNNNNNNNNNNNNNNNNNNNNNNNNNNNNNNNNNNNNNNNNNNNNNNNNNNNNNNNNNNNNNNNNNNNNNNNNNNNCUGAAAAUAAACUUCUCCAGGAAGGAGAGACACAUUUUAGCAGACAUAUUUUUGGUUGUCUCAAAAAGAUGUGGGAAGGCCUAGCCACAAUCAGAUCAGAGUCAGGGGCCAUCUGGAGAAAACAGAUUGGGAUGAAGUAAGAUUUUCAAAGGCUGAAAUGAGAAAUGAGGGCAAAUAUGCUAAAAGUAUAAUAGAAUUAAACACCUGUAUGAAAGAGUAUCAAUGCAGAGAAGACAUAGCAGAAAUCAAAUCAGUAAAGUAGAAGACAAAAUAAGGGAAAGGACCAAGAUGAAAAUGUUGAGAGAGAAGACAGCAAACACGGAUCUAAUCUGAGAAUUACAUUUAUUCCCAAUGAAGAAAUGGAACAAAAUACUGGAAACAGCAGUCAAGCACAUGUCAGAAGAAAACUAUUCUGAGCUGGAGAAGAUUUGAGACAAAAUUAAAAUGACCAGACCCAUAUAGAGGCAUAUCUUUUAAAAUAUCAGUACUUGAGUUUCCAAGUUAAAGAAAGAAUCUUUCAGGCAUUUAGAUAGAUGUGAACAGGUUACCAAUGAAAUAAACAUCAAGCUGGGCUUAGACUUUCUCAACCCUGAGGACUGUUCCAGACGGCAAGGUUGUGUCUCAAGAAUUCCACAUUCACCCAACAUGACGUUUAUGUUCAAAGGCUGUAGAAAUUGAUUUUCAGAUUUACAAGGAGGCUGUAAAUAUAUCUUGCAUGGCCUUUUCUUGAAAAAAAAAAAAGUAUCUGAAUUUCCUGUCCAAUUGAUCAACAGAUGAAUUUGUAUAAGGAAACACACACAAAAUGACUUGCAGAGAGCACUGGAGACUAUUCAAAAUAUGAAAAAUAAUAGUUUUAAAUGUGAUUCAAAAGCUGUAUGCAAAACCUAAUACCUACUGUUGAAAAAUGAUUUACUUGGGUCUAAAAACUGAAAUUAGAUAAAGACUGAUAAAAGAGGGAGGAGGAAUAUGUUCCAAGUUAUCCGCUGUGAGCUGGUGGUUUUUUGGUUUUUUUUUUUGUAAUUAGGGAGAAAUAUAUAAAAUGUUGUCAUUUAAUGAGAAAUCCUGUUUUCUGUGAGUAAUUUUAGUUUGAAAACUGACUUCUCCAAGAGAAUGCUUUUCAGCAGCUUAUCUCUAAAACUGGAAUUAUUAUAUGGUCAUAUAUCUGGCUUCAGAUCCUGAUAAAGGAAUCUGAAAGAAAUCCUGAUAGGAAAAUGAAAGAAGAUGAAGGAAAUCCUGAUAAGCUGAGGUGUUAAGAAAUUACAUAGAGAGACAAGAUACAUGAAUGAUUUUCUUUCUUCUUAUCUACUUUUUUUUUUUAAGUUAAAAGUGCUGGCAUCAGGGAGAGUAAGCAGUAGUCAGUGGAAACUUAACUAGGAUGACUUUGGUAAGAUAAGUUUUCUUAUUUGAUAAGUUGUUUUUAAAAAUCUGUUUCUUUGUUGAUUAUGAGAGUUUGCUCAGGAAUUCAUGAAUUGCACUUGAGUCAAUAUAAGAACUUUGAAAUAAAUUUUUUUUCUUUUGUUUUGGCUUCGGUUGAAGCUUUGAUUUGAAGUAAGAGGGAGAAGAAUCUCAGGAAUUCUUCCAUGUGGUGCUCUUCAUGGAGUGGGUGUAGAAAUGAGAAACUGGAAAUUACACCUAUGCUGAAUAUCAGAACUAAUUAUGAUUUUAAAGUAUUAAAGCUUCAGUCUAAGUCAUAAUCUUUUCCUGUCUUUGUUGUGCUGUUUAUCUUUGCUGAAGUUAUGUCUAUACCAGUCAUAGUUGUUAAAGGAAAAAAAAAGUGCUAGAAGAAUUUGGGGAAAAUCCAUCAUAUUGUGGUGUAAGUAUUUGGUUACUUGGGGAAAUCUUGCUGCCUCCUGAUUUUUAAUAAAAACAGAAGAUCCAGUUCUUGACCAGGAUAUAAUUAAUAACCUUCCCUGCAACCCUCAAAACAUUCUAAUUCAUUUUGUCAUUGAUUGCUGACAACUCACCUAUGGUUUCCCAUCAUUAACGUGUUUCUAAGUAUAUAAAGGAUAGAGGCACUAAGGGUAAGUUUGACAGAAUCACUCUAAGGCCUUAUGUAGACUAUGAAUUGUCCCAAACCACUCAUCGCUGUUCUCUGAAGGGUUUGUUUAGUAUUUAUUUGUACCUUACAAACAGUGGUGCCACUCUUACAGGGAAGGAAUUUUAAAAGAUGUGUGACAUCAGUAUGUACAACCAACCAACCAACCAAGAGUCCUGAUGACUCACAAUGUAUGCAGACUCCACUAAUUGUGCGGAAGACACGGAAUAAAUAUGAAACUUAGUCUCUGCUCUCAAUGAAGUGGAAAGCUAGUUUAGGCAGAGCAGUAUGAACAAAUGAAGGGAUUAACAAACCAUCAGGUGUGAGGCUGGAUUGUACUGUCUUCCCUCUGCUUGUGUUUCUUCAUCUAUAAAAUUGGAAAAGCUACUUAUAAUAAAACUACUUAUCCCAAUAGGACCUGGUACACAGUGCUCAACAGAGGUUAGCCCAGUUCAGUUCAGUUCAGUCGCUCAGUUGUGUCCGACUCUUUGCG
ensembl:lncRNA